UACGUAGGUCCCGAGCGUUGUCCGGAUUUAUUGGGCGUAAAGCGAGCGCAGGUGGUUUAAUAAGUCUGAUGUAAAAGGCAGUGGCUCAACCAUUGUGUGCAUUGGAAACUGUUAGACUUGAGUGCAGUAGAGGAGAGUGGAAUUCCAUGUGUAGCGGUGAAAUGCGUUGAUAUAUGGAGGAACACCGGUGGCGAAAGCGGCUCUCUGGACUGUAACUGACACUGAGGCUCGAAAGCGUGGGUAGCAAACAGG
rnacentral:rRNA from 1 species